rnacentral:tRNA from 1 species
CAUAGUAUAGCUUAAC